rfam:Equus caballus chromosome 4, whole genome shotgun sequence.
UUUUGGGGCGGUGUUUACAGACUCUUCUUCUCUGCCUCCGCCCUGCUCUUGGCCCGGGCUUUGAGCCUUUUCUGUUUUCCAGCCAGACCCGGAAAAACGAAAACACAGCUCGGGGAGCCCCCACCAGCCGGCGCCUGUGCCAGCUCACCUCUGGCCAUGGCGCAGCUGCUGGUGCACACAGCGGCCAAGGCCAGCUCCACAUUCCUCCCUCCAGCUCCCCACUUCACCGGAGACCGAGCCCUGCAUGCAGAGGAAGGGCCCCAGCUCCACAGACUGCCAAAGUCGACAGGGUGCCUCCUCACCAAAAAUGGUGAGACAAGAUUUCAUCUUGUCUGCUGAGGAGCAACAAGCAG